UUCGGCAGCUAGCUCUCUGCAACUCUCACAUGGUCGCCCACUGAAGCUAAGCAGGGCUGCGCCCGGUCAGUACCUGGAUGGGAAACCACAUGGGAAAGCUAGGUUGCUGCCGGAA
rnacentral:rRNA from 1 species